rnacentral:rRNA from 1 species
AUUGAACGCUGGCGGCAUGCCUUACACAUGCAAGUCGAACGGUAACGCGGGGCAACCUGGCGACGAGUGGCGAACGGGCGAGUAAAGCAUCGGAACGUGCCCAGUAGUGGGGGAUAGCCCGGCGAAAGCCGGAUUAAUACCGCAUACGACCUACGGGUGAAAGGGGGGGAGCGCAAGACCUCUCGCUCUUGGAGCCGCCGGUGUCAGAUUAGGUAGUUGGUGGGGUAAAGGCCUACCAAGCCUGCGAUCUGUAGCUGGUCUGAGAGGACGACCAGCCACACUGGGACUGAGACACGGCCCAGACUCCUACGGGAGGCAGCAGUGGGGAAUUUUGGACAAUGGGCGCAAGCCUGAUCCAGCCAUGCCGCGUGCGGGAAGAAGGCCUUCGGGUUGUAAACCGCUUUUGUCAGGGAAGAAAAGCCUUGGGUUAAUACCCUGGGGUGAUGACGGUACCUGAAGAAUAAGCACCGGCUAACUACGUGCCAGCAGCCGCGGUAA